UGCCAGCCGCCGCGGUAAUACGGAGGGUGCGAGCAUUAAUCGGAUUUAUUGGGCGUAAAGAGCGCGUAGGUGGGUAUGUAAGUCAGAUGUGAAAGCCUGGAGCUCAACUUCAGAAUUGCAUUUGAAACUAUUUACCUUGAGGAUAGGCGGAGAAGACGGAAUUCCACGUGUAGCGGUGAAAUGCGUAGAUAUCGGAAGGAACACCAGUGGCGAAGGCGACUUCCUGGGCCAAUACUGACGCUGAGGUGCGAAAGCGUGGGGAGCAAACAGGAUUAGAUA
rnacentral:rRNA from 1 species